rnacentral:rRNA from 1 species
CCUACGGGAGGCUGCAGUGGGGAAUUUUGGACAAUGGGGGCAACCCUGAUCCAGCCAUGCCGCGUGAGUGAAGAAGGCCUUCGGGUUGUAAAGCUCUUUCGGCCGGGAAGAAAUCGUGCGGGCCAAUACCCUGCAUGGAUGACGGUACCGGAAGAAGAAGCACCGGCUAACUACGUGCCAGCAGCCGCGGUAAUACGUAGGGUGCGAGCGUUAAUCGGAAUUACUGGGCGUAAAGCGUGCGCAGGCGGCGCCAUAAGACAGAUGUGAAAUCCCCGGGCUUAACCUGGGAACUGCGUUUGUGACUGUGGUGCUUGAGUGCGGCAGAGGGGGGUGGAAUUCCACGUGUAGCAGUGAAAUGCGUAGAGAUGUGGAGGAACACCGAUGGCGAAGGCAGCCCCCUGGGUCGACACUGACGCUCAUGCACGAAAGCGUGGGGAGCAAACAGGCUUAGAUACCCCAGUAGUC